CAUUCUACUUUCCGUCUCUAUGAAUUUGACUACUCGAAGUACCUCAUGUGAAAUGUUGGUGCCAAAUGAACUUUUCUGGUUCUUCUGAAUAUGCCACUGUUGCUGGAGAAAUGUCACUGCUAGAGAACAGAAGACUAUUAUUCCAAAGGGUAUUUGAGACUGACUGAAUCAGGUCUGGAACAUUAUUGAAAUGAGACCCACAAAAGAAGAGAUACUGAGUGUAACUGGAUCUUGGUUCAUGCUGAGCUUAAAAUUUGAUCUUCUGAAUAUCAGCAGAAAGACUCUUUCUGGUGAAUACAGAUCUUCUGAGCAAUUAUCGACUGACUUUGUCAUUAGACUGCCCUUUCAGAAGUUGUCAGUGACAUGAAUCUUUGCUCCCUUCUUCAUGGAAUAUUUCUGAUCUAAUAGCCCCUAUAUUUCAAAAGAUGGAUAUAAACAUCAGAUGAAUAUCACAGGAAAGCUGGAUUGCUCUGCAGUGAGUGAAACGUGGAAAGGCCUUUCCCCACCAAGCAGUAGGCCAAAUUGUAACAGUAAGAUGUAUUUGAAAUAAAAUGGUUCAUAGAUCA
rnacentral:lncRNA from 1 species